GCUUACGGCCACACCGCCUGGUUCACGCCCGAUCUAGUUUGAUCUCGGAAGCUAAGAUAGGGUGGGCCUGGUUAGUACUUGGAUGGGAGAUUGCCUGGGAAUACCAGGUGUUGUAAGAU
rnacentral:rRNA from 1 species